rnacentral:rRNA from 1 species
AGUGAACGCUGGCGGUAGGCCUAACACAUGCAAGUCGAACGGCAGCACAGUAAGAGCUUGCUCUUACGGGUGGCGAGUGGCGGACGGGUGAGGAAUACAUCGGAAUCUACUUUUUCGUGGGGGAUAACGUAGGGAAACUUACGCUAAUAUCGCAUACGACCUACGGGUGAAAGCAGGGGAUCUUCGGACCUUGCGCGAUUGAAUGAGCCGAUGUCGGAUUAGCUAGUUGGCAGGGUAAAGGCCCACCAAGGCGACGAUCCGUAGCUGGUCUGAGAGGAUGAUCAGCCACACUGGAACUGAGACACGGUCCAGACUCCUACGGGAGGCAGCAGUGGGGAAUAUUGGACAAUGGGCGCAAGCCUGAUCCAGCCAGACCGCGUGGGUGAAGAAGGCCUUCGGGUUGUAAAGCCCUUUUGUUGGGAAAGAAAAGCAGCAGGUUAAUACCCCGCUGUUCUGACGGUACCCAAAGAAUAAGCACCGGCUAACUUCGUG